rnacentral:rRNA from 1 species
UGGGGAAUAUUGGACAAUGGGCGCAAGCCUGAUCCAGCAAUGCCGCGUGAGUGAUGAAGGCCUUCGGGUUGUAAAGCUCUUUUGGCGGGGACGAUGAUGACGGUACCCGCAGAAUAAGCCCCGGCUAACUUCGUGCCAGCAGCCGCGGUAAUACGAAGGGGGCGAGCGUUGUUCGGAUUUACUGGGCGUAAAGGGCGCGUAGGCGGCGCGGCAAGUCAGGCGUGAAAGCCCCGGGCUCAACCUGGGAAUGGCGCUUGGGACUGUCGUGCUUGAGUUCGGGAGAGGAGAGUGGAAUUCCCAGUGUAGAGGUGAAAUUCGUAGAUAUUGGGAAGAACACCGGUGGCGAAGGCGGCUCUCUGGACCGAUACUGACGCUGAGGCGCGAAAGCGUGGGGAGCAAACAGGAUUAGAUACCCGGGUAGUCC